AAGCCGGGGACCUUCGGGCCUGGCGCGGAUAAAUGAGCCGAUGUCCGAUUAGCUAGUUGGCGGGGUAAGAGCCCACCAAGGCGACGAUCGGUAGCUGGUCUGAGAGGAUGAUCAGCCACACUGGAACUGAGACACGGUCCAGACUCCUACGGGAGGCAGCAGUGGGGAAUAUUGGACAAUGGGCGCAAGCCUGAUCCAGCCAUACCGCGUGGGUGAAGAAGGCCUUCGGGUUGUAAAGCCCUUUUGUUGGGAAAGAAAAGCAGUCGGUUAAUACCCGAUUGUUCUGACGGUACCCAAAGAAUAAGCACCGGCUAACUUCGUGCCAGCAGCCGCGGUAAUACGAAGGGUGCAAGCGUUACUCGGAAUUACUGGGCGUAAAGCGUGCGUAGGUGGUUGUUUAAGUCUGUCGUGAAAUCCCUGGGCUCAACCUGGGAAUUGCGAUGGAAACUGGGCAACUAGAGUGUGGCAGAGGAUAGUGGAAUUCCUGGUGUAGCAGUGAAAUGCGUAGAGAUCAGGAGGAACAUCCGUGGCGAAGGCGACCGUCUGGGC
rnacentral:rRNA from 1 species